GACGAACGCUGGCGGCGUGCUUAACACAUGCAAGUCGAACGGAAAGGCCCUGCUUUUGUGGGGUGCUCGAGUGGCGAACGGGUGAGUAACACGUGAGUAACCUGCCCUUGACUUUGGGAUAACUUCAGGAAACUGGGGCUAAUACCGGAUAGGAGCUCCUGCUGCAUGGUGGGGGUUGGAAAGUUUCGGCGGUUGGGGAUGGACUCGCGGCUUAUCAGCUUGUUGGUGGGGUAGUGGCUUACCAAGGCUUUGACGGGUAGCCGGCCUGAGAGGGUGACCGGCCACAUGGGGCCUGAGAUACGGCCCAGACUCCUACGGGAGGCAGCAGUGGGGAAUAUUGCACAAUGGGGCGAAGCCUGAUGCAGCAACGCCGCGGGCGGGAUGACGGCCUUCGGGUUGUAAACCGCUUUCGCCUGUGACGAAGCGUGAGUGACGGUACUGGGUGAAGAAGCACCGGCUAACUACGUG
rnacentral:rRNA from 1 species